CAGUCGCCGCGGGAAUACGAAGGGGGCUAGCGUUGCUCGGAAUUACUGGGCGUAAAGGGAGCGUAGGCGGAUCGUUUAGUCAGGGGUGAAAUCUCGGGGCUCAACCUCGGAACUGCCUUUGAUACUGGCGAUCUUGAGUAUGGGAGAGGUGUGUGGAACUCCGAGUGUAGAGGUGAAAUUCGUAGAUAUUCGGGAGAACACCAGUGGCGAAGGCGACACACUGGCCCAUUACUGACGCUGAGGCUCGAAAGCGUGGGGAGCAAACAGGAUUAGAGACCCCUGUAGUCCCUGUCUCUUAUAC
rnacentral:rRNA from 1 species